CCAACGUCAUUUCCUGUGAUAAGGGAGAAGGAGGGGUCGCCUUGUAAUUAGUAUAUAUAUAUUCUAGAAAUCUCGUCCUAACAUGUAUUGAGCAAUAUUGAUCAUUUCUGAUUUUUCGACAUGGAGGCGAACAUUAUUUGGUUUUCAAGUUUUCUGACAGUUUGUCUGGUGUCCCUGAUAAACUGUAUCCCUGUAUCGGAAUAUGAAGAUAAAAUCUUGAACCGACAUACUCGAAAUGCAGACGAUUUAAAAACUGAGCUUCAGAAGCUAAGACGCAUACUUCAAGAUGUACAUGAUCAUAAAUCUGAUUUAAAGAUUCCGAGGACAACUACUACAACUAGCAAACCUACAGUAGAUGAUGAUAGCUUUAAUAAACUUAUUAUACAGCUGAAAAACAGUGACCAAGCCACGUUGAUGAGACUUUCUCAAGCCCUGGAACAAUUAAAAACAGAAGAUGAAAGCAAACCCCAAAGUCUACCAGAAAAGAAUUCCGUGGGAGAUUAUUUGGGUGUUGUUCAAGACAUAUCAGUAAGUGACGACAGCAAUGACGGUAAUGGCUCAAAAACUCAACAGAAAAUCCUCGAUGCUUUAAGGAAUAUUGGAAUCCUAGACGAAAACAAAAAUAAUCAGGAGGUUACUAAAACUGAAAGUGUCCCACGAGAUAUUUCGCAUGAAAUAGACGAAGAAGAAUAUGACAGCUUUCGACACGAGGUUUUACAUGCGUUAGAGCAGCGAUUGCUGAAAGAUGUUGGUUUAGCAUUACAGUAUGGAUUUGAUCCUAAAGAUAUCAUUAAAGACCUCCGGGAACGAGAAUCUAACAAGAAAACACCAAGAAGUAUUGAGACAAAUAUUGAAAAGGAAUUGUCAAAAAUGAGAAGCCCACGGUAGACUUUAAAUUAUAAGUGAGCUACGCAUGCACAAACCCUUUCAAAAAGACUAUGGAGAUUUGGUGACUUUCCAAGCAUUUUAUCCCCAAAAGUUGAAAUUAUGAGACUGUUGAUAUGGAAUGUAAACCCUCAAGUAAAAGUAUUCACAUAGGUCAACGGUUGAAACGUCGCCUUACUCAACAAUAGCGAUAAAUAAAGCAAGGUAGUCACGAUUAUCUUAUAAAUAGAAGCCUAAUAAAUAUAUACUGCCAUUGUUGUUCUUUCAUAAAUGACUUAUAUUAUACUGCAUUUAUUUGUCAACACGUUUUAAAUAAAUAUUGUCUUUAAUAA